rnacentral:tRNA from 1 species
GCCCGGCUGACUCAGUCAGUAGAGCGUGGGACUCUUGAUCUUGGGGUAGUGAGUUCAAGCCCCAUGCUGGGUG